rnacentral:ribozyme from 14 species
GACAGAAAUAAAUAAAAGGGAAAGAAUAAAAUGGGGAAAGGGAUGAGACAAAUUUAAAAGUUAAUGCCGUCAUACAACUGUCUUUGCAAU